rnacentral:rRNA from 1 species
GUAAUAAAUUCAGCCUACUUCACCUUAAUAAGUUAAUAAUACUUUUUAAUUAAUUAAAUAAAACAUUUUCAUCAUUUUAGUAAAGGAGAUAGAAAAAUUCAUUAGCGCAAUAUAAAUAGUACUGCAAAGGAAAAAUGAAAUAGAAAUUAAAUAAAUCAUAAAAACAAUAAAAAGCAAAGAUUAAACCUUUUACCUUUUGCAUCAUGGUCUAGUAAGUUUAACCUAACAUAAAGAACUUAAGUUAGACACCCCGAAACUAAAUGAGCUACUACGAAGCAGCAAAACGAGCCAACCCUUCUCUGUGGCAAAAGAGUGGGAAGACUUCCUAGUAGUGGUGACAAACCUAACGAGUUUAG